UGGGGAAUAUUGCACAAUGGGGGAAACCCUGAUGCAGCAACGCCGCGUGAGGGAAGAAGGUUUUCGGAUUGUAAACCUCUGUCCCUGGUGACGAAGACAGUGACGGUAACCAGGGAGGAAGCCACGGCUAACUACGUGCCAGCAGCCGCGGUAAUACGUAGGUGGCAAGCGUUGUCCGGAUUUACUGGGUAUAAAGGGAGCGCAGGCGGGGAAGCAAGUCAGCGGUGAAAUACAUGGGCUUAACCCAUGAACUGCCGUUGAAACUGUUUUUCUUGAGUGAAGUAGAGGCAGGCGGAAUUCCGAGUGUAGCGGUGAAAUGCGUAGAUAUUCGGAGGAACACCAGUGGCGAAGGCGGCUUGCUGGGCUUUUACUGACGCUGAGGCUCGAAAGCGUGGGGAGCAAACAGG
rnacentral:rRNA from 1 species